GAGUGCAGUGAUGGGCAGUCGGGAGACGUGGCUGGUCUGUAACACUUCACGAGAGAGGACGGACCCCGCACCUCAUUUUACGUUGUUUCCACGGCAUGCACACUUCUGUUAGGUGCGGGAGAGCAAACACCAAAAUCAGAGCACUUUCCCUGCUCGCAGAAAAGGUUAAGAUCUAAGGGGGCAGGCAGUCACCAAAUACACUAAACGGCUAGUGUGUGCGAGAUUCUGAGGCUAAGGUCGUGACCAAGACAGCAAGACCCUGCCCUCAAAGAGCGUAAAUUCUGGCGGGGGAGACAGACAAUGUAUUUUUUUAAUGGGCUUUGGGUGUUGUUAAGGGCGGCGAAGGGAGUGAAAUGGAGGAGUGUCACGGGGAGUGACGGUGGUGGAGGAGGUGAGCUGGGAAAGCCCUCCAGGGGCGUUUGUGGCAGCAGCAGGAAGGUGCCUCGAGGGCAGCAGUGCCCGCGGCAGGAGGAGCGCCCGCGAGCGCCGGCGAGCGCCGGGGGGUGCUGGGCGCCGGUGGGCGGGAGCGUGAAGGGCCAGGGCCCGGGCCCGGGGCAGGGGCGGGCCUCGUGGAGCCCAGCGCCGCCUGAGGCUUCACGCUGCCGGUAACAGCGGAGGCGCCCUUGGCAGGUUUCGCUCGGGGAGGGCGCGUGACGUGCUGUGGUCUAUAACCUCCGGAGCAGCGGGCCCGCCGCCCGGAGGGGGUUGGCUGGGGCGGGCGGGCGGCCUGCGUGCGAGUGGUGAGGAAGAGAAGAAAGCGCGAUGGCAGCGUCUGUGGCGGAGGCGCUGAACGGCGGCCGGUGUUGCCUUUCUGCGGUGGGCGCCAGUGCCGCCAUGCUAGGGCCCCGGGAAAGCGGCGAACAAAUCGUGCGCUGCGAGUCAGGAGGGCUGCGAGCAGCAGGGCUAAGCGACGUGCGUUCGCGUUCAGAGCCCGGGCGAGAGGUGGGGAGGAGAGAUCCGAGGAGGGAGACGGAAGUUAAUCAUCUCGGAGAAGAAUACAACUCGGAAGGUGUGACAGGCCCGUGUGUGGAAUGGCCAUCUGAGAUGCGGCGCACGCCCAGCUGUAUGAACGGAACAGAGUGGGGUUGUUCCAGGCAAAUGUCACAGAGCAAAAAAGGAACAAGGGACAAUGGUAUUUGCAGGGGCGUGGCGAUCGCGUCGAACCACCAACUCUCAGACGAGAAGGGAAACUAGGGCUCGAGUGGGGUGGCUGGUGAAAAGGCAGGGCCAGCAGACGAGGUCAGACAACUACAGGACAGGUGCGGAGAGAAGGUGCUGGUGUCGGGGGCCACUCACACUCGGACGGACGGGGAGCCGUUACCAGUAAUGAUCGCAGGGGUCGCGGCGGGUGAGCACAGGCUUCCAGAGUUGAGACGUGAUGGGGGAAAGCAGGUGGAGCUGGGGUAGCCAGUUCGAGGCCGGGUCUUGGGUGGCUCCUCCGCAGGUGUUAAAGGUGCGGGAAUGAGGUGCCGGCGUGGUGGGACCUCCAGGUGCUGCCCGAGAAGACGACAGAUAGACAGAACUCGUGGUGGGGAGACGUGAUCUUCGGAGGAGGGAAGGAGGCUUGGAUCCGUCAGUAACCCAGGAAGGUAAGUGGAUGCAGCCACCCCUCCCCGGCUCCCACGCCAGGGAGCUACCGCCGGCCUGGCGCUGGGGGGCUGAGCGGCCCAGGGGCUGGGCGAGGAACGGCUCUCGUGAGGUCGGGGCCGUGGCACCUUCAGCGGAGAACACUGCAGAAGAGGUAGCUUCCAAGGGAACAUGACGAGGCUGCUUUUGAGUAUUUUGUUGCCUUUUCUCACUCGUCUUGAUGUUGGAUUUAACUAUGAGCAUGUUUAUUUCACACGUUCAUAAAUAUGUUCAGGUUUGAGGGGAAUUGACUACAGACAUUUUGCACCUGUUGAGAAGACAAUUUCUCAACUCUGCUUAGCAUCACAAAAACGAAUUUUAUGUUCUAUCAAGUGGGCAAGCAUUUUCAGUAGUUUAUGAUCUUUCAUAAAAUGGAAAGUGUUGGGAAGUAAAUACUUCCGUUUCCAAGUAACAGGGGAGGAGAGGGAAGUUGCCAUGUUAUCAGACAGUAGAAGAUAUUUUGUUGAAUAAUGUACAGAAUGAGCGGUCUGGCGCUGUAUCGCCUUACCUUUCAAAGGAUGAAACUGCUGUCUCCUAAAGGAGUCCCACACUUCUACCAAAUUUUAAAAAAACAGUAUGUGUUUGUGUAUUGAUAUGUUUAUUCCCAUUUUACCAGAAAGAACACAAUUUAUCUACUAAUCAGAAAAAAGUUUUGCAACCUCAAAACAAACGCUUACUCGCCAAGCUGUAAAUAGCUUAAAUGGCUUAAAUUGGAGAUUUCUGUGGGAUUUUGAGCAGUAAAUAGGACAAUUCCUAAACUCUUCAGUUAUAGAAUAUUCAAGGCAUACAAAAGUGUUGUUUUUCUACACAGCAUAACUGAAAUGUAGCUUAACCAGUGAUUUACAAGGCAGUCAAAUACCAAAGCUGGAAAGCAUUUAGGGAACCAUAAAUUAUGUAUUUUCUAUACCUUCGAAAACCUUUCAGCUGUUAUCAAUCUUUUGUUUUUAUUGGCCAAGUAUGACUGCCGUAAAAUGACCGUAUUCACUAGCCCGCCACCUAAAAAGCAUUAAGCAUUCAUUUACAGAAUGAACGAACGAGCACGUCUGCUUUGGUUCUUGAAAUAGAAUUACCUCGUGUAAGUAUAUUUUCUUUAUUUACAAAGUAUUAGGCUUAUUUUACAUGACUGCGCGCGCUUACAGUCCCGGCAUCACGAAGCAGGAGUUCCCGACCCUGUAGCGCCCAAGGAUGCCCAGUUCCAGCCAUAAAAGUGCAAGCUGGGUAGAAUGUUUGGUGCUUGGAUUUCGGAGGUGCUAGGGGGGCAGAGAGGGACCGCUUCCUGGUGUCUGGGGGAAGGAGAAGCGCCCCCGCCCCCCGUUCGGAACGCUCUCCAUCUCCAGUCCCUCAGAGGAAGUCGUGGCGAAGAAGCUGCUUCCAGGCCCCGCGCGCGCCUCUCCGGGUGCCCUUCCCGCUCCCGCGGCGUCUUCGUCCGGGAGGCUCUUCGCGGCGGCCGGACCCGGCCAACUUCCCUUCCAGCCGAGGCGCCUCCUUCCGCUCAGCGCCGCGCGGCUCCGCUCGGGACGUGUCCGCGCCUCCGCGACCACCGGAGCCACUUCGGGGCGAUGCUGGGGCCACCGGUCUGGGCGCUGGUGGCCGGCGUCCUGCUGGCGCUGUCGCCGGGCCGGGCGGGGGGCGCCCCGAGGGCGGGCCGGCGGCCGGCGCGGGCGCGGGGCUGCGCGGACCGGCCCGAGGAGCUCCUGGAGCAGCUGUACGGGCGGCUGGCGGCCGGCGUGCUCGGCGCCUUCCACCACACGCUGCAGCUGGGCCCGCGCGAGCAGGCGCGCAACGCCAGCUGCCCGGCCGGGGGCAGGCCCGCCGACCGCCGCUUCCGGCCGCCCACCAACCUGCGCAGCGUGUCGCCCUGGGCCUACAGGAUCUCCUACGACCCCGGCCGCUUCCCCAGGUACCUGCCCGAGGCCUACUGCCUGUGCCGGGGCUGCCUGACCGGGCCGCGCGGGGAGGAGGACGUGCGGCUGCGCAGCGCCCUGGUGCUCGUGCCCGCGGUGGUCCUGCGCCGGACCCCGGCCUGCGCGGGCGGCCGCGCAGUCUACACCGAGGAGUACCUCACCAUCCCCGUGGGCUGCACCUGCAUGCCCGGGCCAGACAAGGAUGCAGACGGUGCCAACUCCAGCUUGGACAAGCCGGCCCGGCCCUGAGCACCCGGCCCCAACCCGGGGACCCCGAAGCCCCGAGGAAACGUGGACGGAGCACCCAGCGCUGGACUGGACUGCACUGCCUGCGAGCCUGACCUCCUGCAUCCCCCGGGCUUCCUCUUGGGCAGGAGCGCAGGGCGGAGUUUUUAGAAGCGCAGGUGGAACCCUCACCCUCUAGCCCGCCUUGUGGCCUGGGUCCCUGAAUCCCGCCUGUUGCUGACGGUCACCAGUGGACAUGGCUGCAUGGGACCUGCCCUCCCUCUGAGAGGCUCAGCUC